UGAAUUCAUUUUUUUUUCAAAUUGAGGAAGAAUAUAAAAUAAUGUACAAGUAUAAUAAACAUUCAAUAUGCACAAUAAAAUAAAAUAAUAAUUAUCGGCCUAAGGUUUGCCUAACGUCAAUAUUUACAAUAAUGAAAUAAAAGGAAAAGCACCUCCGGGUACCUGUAAACACACUUAGUAAAAGUGUUAGUAAAGAAUAAAUAUAAUUAAAAUUGAAUAAACCAAAUAAUAACUAAAAAUAAAAAUCCGUCUUAUUAACAUGGAAGGCCUUGGAAAUCGACGGUGAUUUCUUCAUCGGCCAAUUUCAAUAACUAAAAAUAUAUAUAAACUUGAAUUAGAUUUCCGUCUUUUAAAAUGGGGAGGCCUCUAAACCCGGCGGAUAGAUUUUUCAUCGGCCCAUUUAACACUAUUUCAACACAAAAUCAUACGAGAUUAUCAAAAUAAAGUUUUAAAAAAAAUAUAAUAUGCAACCACUAACAAACAAUAUUCAAAAUAAUUAAAAAAACAGAGACUAGCAAGAUAAUUGAUAGAAAUAGAGCAACAACUCAUAUAAUAAAUAAAACAUAAGUAAAAUUGAAGUAAACAAAGGACAAAAAUGAAAAAUAAGAAAAAGAACAAGAAUAAAAUAAAACUAAAAUACAAUACUAACAUAUUCUAGAAAUUUACAGUAGCAUCUUUACAAAUGUUACAGUAAGUAUUUCUAUAGAAAUCGCUUACAAAACAAAAGCAAAUAAAAGAACCAAACCUAAUUGACAUACUCAAAAAAAAAAAUUUAGCAAAACAAAGUAUAAAAUAAAUAAAACAAAUAUAAGAAGCUCACUAGAAUAAGUAUUCAAACAAGGUUGCACACGUAACAAAAACACUACUAAAUAUCAGUAAUAACAAAAAUUGAUAAAGAAAACAAUAAUAGUAAAUAAUGAAAUAAAAAGGAAUAAUGGAAACAAACAGUGAGGUUUCGCCGGAGUUUUGCAUUUCCAACUGUUGUAAAUGGCUUCCACCGUUGUGGGUUCGUUGAGAUCAAUGCAGCACGACUUGGAAAUUUUAGUGUUGUUCCAUCUUGAAGCUGUCUAAGAUCUGGCGUCCGUUCGGAGCUUCGCCGGAGCUUGGAGCUCAUUUGAAUGGCAGCAGGUUACCUGCAAAAAAAAUAAGAGAAAAAUCGUGAAAGGGGAGAGGGGAAGGGACUGGACAUUUGAGGUUGUUUCCGGUGAUUCUUUCACCGGAAAAAGGGGAAAAACGAAAGAGUGUUGUGAUUGUUUUGCCAGAGCUUUCGAAGCUCGUCGACUUUGUUAUUGUUUGGUGGAGGAAACUCGUGGGUUUGUUGGCUGUUUGCUGGAAAUCGAGGGGGGUUUUGGUUGCUGGAAAUGGUUGGAGAGAGUAGAAGAGGCGAGGGGAGGAGGAGAGGUGGCUGACGGAAAGAAGGAGAGGAGGAAGGGAGAGAGAAGCGGCUGCCGGGAGAGGGAAGAAGGGGGCUAUGAGGGAGAAGGAAGAAGGAGAGAGGAAGGCGGCUGGGUGGUGUUUGGAGGAAGAGAGAAGAGGAAGAGGGAAGGAAGAGGGAGAGGGAAUGUCGGCUGGAAGGAAAGGGGAAGAGGGGAGGGGCUGGCGGCUAGGAGAUGGAGAGAAGAAGGGAGAAGGGGCUCGGCUGGGAGCAACUGGGAGGAGAAAGAGAGGAGAGGGGGCUGCGGCUCCCUUUCUUUUUUUCUCAAAAUCCCCCCCCCUUUUUGACCUAGUUAACAAGCUAAAUAAAACUCGAAAUAGGCUCAAAUGACGGGGUUAACGUUGUGGCCCAAAAUUAUGAAUUUUUUAAAAAUGUUAGGCCAAAAUUGGGUGUCAACAGCUGUCCCUUUCGUUGUGUAUGAUUGAUGAAAGAAAUCGUGGACAACGAAAAUUGACAAACCCAAUUUUGACGGAAAACAUGACCUUUGUAGAGAAGUGCGGUUCCAUGUGGUGGAAGUCAAUUCCAAACCUGUCUCCAAAAGGUUCUAUGAUGCGUUGCGUGUUUGUUGAAGUAGUUUGCACCUGUUUUUUUUGUUUUUUUUUUGAAGAAACUUUUUUUUUUGAUUUUUUUUUUGAAGAAACUCAUCCUUUCGAAUGCUUUUGACAAAGACCAAGCUAAAGCUCGUCAGCUUAAAAAUACAAUUUAAAUGGGAGACAGCGUCUUCCACCGUGUCGACACUUAAUCUCUCUCCUCCACAUUUUACGUCAGUUGAGGUUGAGGGAUAAAAAUUUCCUUUGAGAUGCACGAUUCUUUUUCUGGCAGUGCAUGAUUGCUUGUAGGGCAUGAAUAUCUUCCCGCGAUGCGCCAAUUUUGCGAGGGAUGGAAUCUUUUCGCGAUGCAUAAAAUUUUGCGAGGGAUGGGAUCUUCUCGCGAUGCAUGAAUUUUCUGCGAGGUAUGGAAUCGUCUCGCGAUGCAUGAAUUAUCUGCGAGGUAUGAAAUCUUCUCGCGAUGCAGGAAUAUUGACUCGCAAUGCAUGAAUAUUAACUCGCAAUGCAUGAAUUAACUCUCGAUGCAUGAAUUGACUCUCGAUGCAUGAAUAUGAACUCGCUAUGCAUGAAUUUUCUGCGAGGUAUGAAAUCUUCUCGCGAUGCAUGAAUUUUCUGCGAGGUAUGGAAUCUUCUCGCGAUGCAUGAAUUAUCUGCGAGGUAUGAAAUCUUCUCGCGAUGCAGGAAUAUUGACUCGCAAUGCAUGAAUAUUAACUCGCAAUGCAUGAAUUAACUCUCGAUGCAUGAAUUGAGUCUCAAUGCAUGAAUAUGAACUCGCAAUGCAUGAAUUUUCUGCGAGGCAUGAAAUCUUCUCGCGAUGCAUGAAAUCUUCUCGCGAUGCAUGAAUUUUCUGCGAGGUAUAGAAUCUUCUCGCGAUGCAUGAAUUAUCUGCGAGGUAUGAAAUCUUCUCGCGAUACAGGAAUAUUGACUCGCAAUGCAUGAAUAUUAACUCGCAAUGCAUGAAUUAACUCUCGAUGCAUGAAUUGACUCUCGAUGCAUGAAUAUGAACUCACAAUGCAUGAAUUUUCUGCGAGGCAUGAAAUCUUCUCGCGAUGCAUGAAUUUUCUGCGAGGCAUAGAAUCUUCUCGCGAUGCAUGAAUUAUCUGCGAGGUAUGAAAUCUUCUCACGAUGCAGGAAUAUUGACUCGCAAUGCAUGAAUAUUAACUCGCAAUGAAUAAAUUAACUCUCGAUGCAUGAAUUGACUCUCUAUGCAUGAAUAUGAACUCGUAAUGCAUGAAUUUUUUGCGAGGUAUGGAAUCUUCUCGCGAUGCAUGAAUUAUCUGCGAGGUAUGAAAUCUUCUCGCGAUGCAGGAAUAUUGACUCGCAAUGCAUGAAUAUUAACUCGCAAUGCAUGAAUUAACUCUCGAUGCAUGAAUUGACUCUCAAUGCAUGAAUAUUAACUCUCGAUGCAUGAUCUUCUGCGGGGCAUGUAUAUCUUCCCGCGAUGCAUGAUUUUCGUGAUGCAUGAUUUUUAACGAGGCUUGGAUGGAUCGAUAAUGUUCCAACUGUAACGAGGUGGAUGGCUCGAUAAUGUUCCAACUGUAACGAGGUGGAUGUCUCGAUAAUGUUCCAACUGUAACGAGGUGGAUGGCUCGAUAAUGUUCCAACUGUAACGAGGUGGACGGCUCGAUAAUGUUCCACUGUAACGAGGUGGAUGUCUCGAUAAUGUUCCACUUCAAAUGAAUUUUUGAGAUCCUCUCAAAAAUUCUGUCCCAAUUUUAAUUAUGAAGAGAAAUGAAAAUCUUACUGGGUAUAUGACCGAGCCGUUGUGGCGCCUACGUAUCCCGUUGGAGCAGGAAUCAGGUCAAACGUAGUUCCCCUUGUGGAUGAUGAGUGCUGCAAAGAAUCUGAAAGAUUAUCAGUAGAAAAUGCACAAUAUGAACAUGAUGGAAUAUGCAAAUGGUAUUCCUUGCUAUAUUCAAAGCCUAAAACAAGACAUAUCACAUUUUGGGUAUGGACAACUCAAUGAAGUAAAAUAGACGUCUCACACAUAUAAGAUCAACUUAAUGACACCUCUUAAAAUGAACAGCUCAAAAGACAAUUUUUUUUUUCAAAAUAAAAAAAAUGUGAGGAGAUAGUCAAAUCUUCACCACGAUUGGUACCAACAGUUAAGAUUGCAGGUAAUUUUUUUUUUUAAGAUUGAAUUAAGGUAAUUCCUACAGCUUCAAGUUGUUCCUCAAAUAUACUUAAGGAUCAACAAGAUCCGUUCAUCUUGUUUCAAACAAAGAUUUUGAAUUGUAUCAAUCCUCAUGUUUCAAGUGCCCUCACGACAAAGGCUAGUCCUAUUUCACACAUAAUUGAAACAUUUGAUUAUAAGACAUUUUUCAAAGUGCACUCACACUCACAAGAAUGUUCAAUGUACACAACUGUGAUGCCAUAUGCUUGACCCUUAUGUAAAUCUCCGCUAAUGUGAGAACAUUUGGAAUGAGAUCAUGUAGGGCUUGUAAUUGGCUUGUAACGUAGGCUUAGGGAUGGGUAGGAUAUUUAUUUGAGAUAAAAGUGACUGAAUUCCUCCUUGAGCAUCACACAAAAUGUGUGCUCUUAAUGAUUGGUACUCCUUUGGCGUUAGAUCCUCUUCAUUGUUUUCCGCCAUCUCAAACUCUUUUGAAUUCUCAUUUUUAAUGCAUUUUCCUUCUUUAUUUUUUUUCUGAGCUCUUUUUUUUUUAGCUUUUUUCCUUUUUUUUUUGAGUCCUUAUUCCUUGGAGCUUUUCUUUUAUUCAAUUCUUCAUUAUAAUAAUUUUCCUUUUUGUUGGAAUAUUUUCCUUCCAACCUUUCACUGAUCCUGUAAAGAAAUUUUUUGCCUCUCUUUAUUUCUUCCACUUUUUUUUUCUUUUUCUCUAGAAUCUUUGCUUCCUUGAUUUUGAGAGACUCAAUAUCUUUGCUUUUUGAAAUUUGAAACAUUGAUCUACUUUUAUAAUUUGCACAUUCAUUGUAUACUCAAGAAGGUUGGGCCAAGAGAGGAUAGUGCUCGUAAGCACUCAAAAGGGUAGUGGUUAAAAUGUGGUUGUUCAAAUGAAGGUUUCAGGCUCAAAAUGGGAAAACUAGGGAUUAGUGUAAUUUGGUAGGCUUUGAAAGGCACAAUCGGGUCAAAAAAGGCCUACAAUCCUUCCUCAAACCAAACCUUACUCAUGAUUUCACCUCGAAAAACAUUCAGGUCAAGUUCUAGAUCAACAGUGUAACACAAUUGAACUUUGAUCAAAAUCUCACCACACAAUGCGCAUGAAACAUAAGGGUAGUUUUAUUCUUAUCUUGAUUGAAUGCAAGAGAAUUUUCAAGCAUCACAAAAGUACAGAUAAGAGGUACCAUGAGAAUCUGUAGUUUACCGUAAAGUCAAUCUUUUCAACCAUAUCGAAUGUAUUUACACGCUCUUAACUGCAUAGGUUCCGACCGAGUUGAAGACAUGACCUUACAGUAUGUACAAUUUUUUUUUUGAAAAAUAAUUAUACCGAACCCAAGAAGGGUUGCCUACAUAUCUCACCAAAAUGAGAAUCAAGUAUGCGUAGUUCGUGCAGAUAUGAGUUGAAAAAUAUGCAUGAAAAAUAUGCACAAACUUUUUUUUUUCCAGAAAAAGAUAAUACCGAACCCAAGAAGGGUUGCCUACGUAUCUCACCGAAAUGAGAAUCAGGUACGCGUAGUUCGUGCAUAUAAGGCAUAUAAUAAUUUAAAGAUUUAGACUACUCAAAGAAAUUCCUGGGUCUAACGCCACUGAAAUUUGUAGUCAUGAAUUUAUUUAUUUUUUAUUUUCACCAAUAUAUUUUAUAGCCUCUUAAUCGUCAAUAUUUAUACUGUCUGUUGAAUGUAUCCUGUGAAUUUAUACAGUAACGAUUUGUUGUACUCUUUUUGGAUGUUUUCUUGAAUCUUUGUCUCCUUCUAAUUUUCACGAGAUCCAAACAUUGUUAUGACCAUCCCCGACUGAUGUGGGGAUGAUAUCCCUACAAAAAUAUGAGAAAUAUGUGAGAGGAGAACCGACAUGCAAAAUAAUAAUAAAAAUAAGUGGAUCCGACCUCAUAGUCAAAGACUCCCCUAAUUUAUUGUUUUGACUUGAUAUUAAUGUCUUGUGAAAUACAGGGACUCGAAUUUCGUAAAUCCUCUUGUCUCUUGCGGCUUCGGACAAAUAAUGAUUUCUUGAUUUGAACAUAAAUUAAUUUUUUGCUGUAAAGAAGAACAACUCAAAAUGUAAAAAGUGUUAGUUCAUGUACAUAAUGAAUAAUGUCAAAUAUCACACAAAUAAUGAAUAAAACACAUAAAUACUGUUCUAAUUAAAGACAAACUAAAUAUAUUACAUAGUAUACAAACAAUUAUUGCGCGUUCUAUACAAAUAUGUGACCCUUUUAUACCUAGGGUAGGCCUAUCGAUUUGAAGGAUGUAUAAGUCAUUUCAAAAUAUUUCAUUGCCCUUAAACUCAAAAUUAUACAAACUUUAUAAAUAAAACUUAAUGGGGAUACAUAAUAGGGGAAAUGUAUACAAAAUAAUAUGUCUCACACAUGGGUACGACCCUAAACUAUGCCUCCGCGAAAUAUCCUUCUGCUUUCUUGAUUUGUUGUCAUAUCCGGGUGCUAAGAUCUUCGAAUAGGCUUGCAGCUGAUGAAGCUCUUUCUUUAACCUAAACAAACUAUAAUCUAAUAUUUAUCCUAUGAGACAAUGAUUUUCUCAAACAACAUAUACAUCCUUCAAAUUUAAACACACAAGUAUGAACGUCCAUUUAAGCCGUGGGCCGUUUUGGACUCAAGGUGGUCUUCUAAUGGACCUAACACGCCUUGGGUAUUGGGUCAUCUUAGUUCAAAUGCGCUAUUUUUUGGGAUUUUGCUCGACUCUACACUAGUUUACAAGGAGUGAGUUGUAUUUAUAGUGGAAAAGUUAACCCAAGCGGACUACUUGAGCUGAGACAGUUAACGAUCGUUGACUAUCAAGUAGCCAACUACACUCGUCAGGGUGCCCCGAGAAAAUCUUUGGUUAAUGAACGACUGCGAACCCACAUAAUCGUCCUUUAGUGGAAAUGAAAUAAUUGUCGUUUGACGGAAAAUAUUAUGCCAUGAAUGCAAUGAUAAUAUACCCACAACAGGAUAAAUAAUGAAUAAAUACAAUAUACAAAUAAUCAGCGAAAUAUAAAAAUACAAAGUAUAACAUAAUAAUAAAGCAAAAAUUUCCUCAAUUUGAAAAAAUAAAUAAAUUCAUAUUAGUUAAAACCUCUAAAACUCCCCAGCGUAGUCGCCAUUCUGUUUACAUCCCUACUGUGUUAAAAUAGGGCGAAACGUCGCGGCAACUCGAAAAUAAUUAAUUGAUUCAAUUUUAACAAAGUUUUAAUAAUAAACGAAUUUUGAAAAGAGUCGCCACCUAAUUUUAGGAAAACUAGGAAACCAAUUAUUAAUCUACGAAACCAAAUUGAUUCUAGAUAAGGGGUUCAAGUUAUUCCGAAGGGAAGGGGUUAGGCACCCUUCGGAAUCCACAAAUGUUGUUCCCGGCUGAAUUCAUUUUUUUUUCAAAUUGAGGAAGAAUAUAAAAUAAUGUACAAGUAUAAUAAACAUUCAAUAUGCACAAUAAAAUAAAAUAAAAUAAUAAUUAUCGGCCUAAGGUUUGCCUAACGUCAAUAUUUACAAUAAUGAAAUAAAAGGAAAAGCACCUCCGGGUACCUGUAAACACACUUAGUAAAAGUGUUAGUAAAGAAUAAAUAUAAUUAAAAUUGAAUAAACCAAAU
rnacentral:lncRNA from 1 species